AUUGAACGCUGGCGGCGUGCUUAACACAUGCAAGUCGAACGUGAAAGUCCUUCGGGAUGAGUAAAGUGGCGCACGGGUGAGUAACGCGUGGAUAAUCUACCUUCAAGAUGGGGAUAACGGCUGGAAACGGUCGCUAAUACCGAAUAAGCUGUAGGUUUUGAAUUUACGGUAAAGAUGGCCUCUGCUUGCAAGCUAUCGCUUGAAGAUGAGUCCGCGUCCCAUUAGCUAGUUGGCGGGGUAACGGCCCACCAAGGCGACGAUGGGUAGCCGGUCUGAGAGGAUGAUCGGCCACACUGGGACUGGAACACGGCCCAG
rnacentral:rRNA from 1 species